rnacentral:tRNA from 1 species
AUUUUUAUAGUUGAAUUAGCAACGGUAGUUUUUCAGAUUACAGGUCUUAGGUAAAAUCUAAGUAAAGAUA